rnacentral:rRNA from 1 species
AUUGAACGCUGGCGGCAGGCCUAACACAUGCAAGUCGAGCGGAUGAAGGGAGCUUGCUCCUGGAUUCAGCGGCGGACGGGUGAGUAAUGCCUAGGAAUCUGCCUGGUAGUGGGGGAUAACGUCCGGAAACGGGCGCUAAUACCGCAUACGUCCUGAUGGUGAAAGUGGGGGAUCUUCGGACCUCACGCUAUCAGAUGAGCCUAGGUCGGAUUAGCUAGUUGGUGGGGUAAAGGCCUACCAAGGCGACGAUCCGUAACUGGUCUGAGAGGAUGAUCAGCCACACUGGAACUGAGACACGGUCCAGACUCCUACGGGAGGCAGCAGUGGGGAAUAUUGGACAAUGGGCGAAAGCCUGAUCCAGCCAUGCCGCGUGUGUGAAGAAGGUCUUCGGAUUGUAAAGCACUUUAAGUUGGGAGGAAGGGCAGUAAGUUAAUACCUUGCUGUUUUGACGGUACCAACAGAAUAAGCACCGGCUAACUUCGUG